GGACUACUGGGGUAUCUAAUCCUGUUUGAUCCCCUUGCUCUCGCGCCUCAGCGUCAGGUAUAAGCUAGAGAACCGCUUUCGCCACCGGUGUUCUUCCACAUAUCUACGCAUUUCACCGCUACACGUGGAAUUCCGUUCUCUCCGCCAAUCCUCGAGAUUUGUAGUUUCAAAUGCAGCUCCGAAAUUGAGUCCCGGAAUUUCACAUCUGACUUACAUAUCCGCCUACGCGCCCUUUACGCCCAAUAAUUCCGAUUAAUGCUUGCACCCUCCGUAUUACCGCGGCUGCUGGCAC
rnacentral:rRNA from 1 species